CGGCGCAAAGCAUGGUGGGCCGCGGGCGGAGCGGGACCGGUGGCUGCCCUUUGGCGACCCCGGGCCCGCCAGUCCGACGACGGGUUGGGCCGGUGUCGGCAGCUCCCCGGUCCAGGUGUCCGCGGCCGCAGCGCAGUGCCCCGUAUGCGGGAGGCGCUCAAUAACCACGGCGACAGAAAUAGUUCGGGUGGCUCCGUGCCCCGGGGCACACAGGCAGCCUGGAAGCUGCCCCGGCUCCCAGUCCAGACCUGGGGCAACGCCAUUGGCUUGAAGGCUACCCAGAACUCCACUCCACUUGACCCACUCUGACCUCCGCCGUGGCUCUGUUCUGGGUCUCAAAGGACUAUGAGCCCUGGCUGGUGCGGCUCAGUGGACUGAGUGCAGGCCUGUGAACCAAAGGGUCGCCGGUUCAAUCCCCAGUUAGGGCACAGGCCUCGGAUGCAGGCCAGGUCCCCAGUUGGCGGGUGCACAAGAGGCAACCACAUGCUGAUGUUUUUUUUCCCUCUCUUUGUCUCUCCUUUCCCCUCUCUAAAUAUAAAUAAAAUAUUAAGAAAGACUAUAAUAAGUAAAUGCAAUGCAAAUAAAUAUGGGUAAAAAAA